UACGGAGGAUCCAAGCGUUAUCCGGAUUUAUUGGGUUUAAAGGGUGCGCAGGCGGAAGAUUAAGUCGGCGGUGAAAUUUUGCAGCUCAACUGUAAAAGUGCCAUCGAUACUGGUUUUCUUGAGUGUGGAUGAAGUAGGCGGAAUUUGUGGUGUAGCGGUGAAAUGCAUAGAUAUCACGAGGAACUCCGAUUGCGCAGGCAGCUUACUAGGCCAUAACUGACGCUCAGGCACGAAGGCGUGUGGAUCAAACAGGAUUA
rnacentral:rRNA from 1 species